rnacentral:tRNA from 1 species
GAGAAAAUAGUUUAAUUGGUUUGAACGUCAGUUUGUCAAGUUGAAGGUUGCGAGUUCAAGUCUCGUUUUUCUCG